rnacentral:lncRNA from 1 species
GAUUAUAAUAUUAAGCUCAAAGUGUAUAUAAGCCAUUUUCGCAUGGCUAUCCAAAUUUAUACAAAACCAAAGGGUCCAUGACCAACAACAAAAAGGGUAGUCCUAUACAUGCCAUUUCAAAGUUCAACCAAAAGUGUACCAAAAAGGGGCUUUGAUAGUGUGGGAGACUUCGACUUCAAUAAUCCCGAGUCCGAUAGCUGACGAACCCAAAAUCUAUAAAACAGAGAAUCAAAGAAACGGAGUAAGCAUUUAAUGCUUAGUAAGUUUGAGCCAUGAAAUUAGACACAACCAAAGUAUAGCAAUCAUAUGGCUAAACGGAUAAUCUCAUAUGCACAAAUUCUCAAUAUCAUACUUACUUCACAUUACCAACCCUUAUAUUCAUACACAAAAGAUCAACUUAGCCAAGGCCGGAAGCUCAUU